AAAGAGUUAGACAAAGCCCAUAGAAUUGCCAUCAGCAAACAUUUUCCUGUGUCAUAUUAGUGGGUCUCCAUGACUCCCCCUGGCCCAGGGACAAUAGCACAAGUUUGCACACUCGACUACUGUCACCCUGCCAACGCUGGCAAGGAGCAGAAACAGGACAAUCCUUUAAGGGGAAAGCAUGCCCACUGCAGGGAAGGUAAGAAGAGAGGGAAGAAAAGCAUGUGAAAUGCUAAUUGAGCUGCUUCCUUUAUUGAUUCAGAGUUAUGUGAGUCCUCAUCCUCCUUGCAGGAUUGUCCUUAGGGGUGGCAAUAACUUAAUAGCAUGCUAAACCUGGGAGUCCCACACUGUGUGCUCUCCCCACAGAGAUCUUUAAUAGCAGUGGGGGGAGAGUGAAGUUACCCUGAAUGAAUUUCAGAAAUGCUAGACAUUCAGGAAUAAAGCCAGC
rnacentral:lncRNA from 1 species